AAUAUAGUGCCUGAUAAAAAGGGUAGCUUUGAUAGAGCUAAUCAUGUACUUUGUACCUAUAUUA
rnacentral:tRNA from 1 species